rnacentral:rRNA from 1 species
GUGUCAGCAGCCGCGGUAAAACGUAGGUACCGAGCGUUAUCCGGAUUUACUGGGCGUAAAGCGCGUUCAGGCGGCACGGCAAGUCGGGCAUGAAAUCUCUCGGCUCAACCGGGAGGGGUUGUCCGAUACUGCCGGGCUGGAGGGCAGUAGAGGGGGGUGGAAUUCCGGGUGUAGUGGUGAAAUGCGUAGAGAUCCGGAGGAACACCAGUGGCGAAGGCGGCCCCCUGGACUGUACCUGACGCUCAAACGCGAAAGCUAGGGGAGCGAACGGGAUUAGAAACCCCUGUAGUCC